rnacentral:rRNA from 1 species
UACGUAGGGGGCUAGCGUUGUCCGGAAUCAUUGGGCGUAAAGCGCGUGUAGGCGGUCCGGUAAGUCCGCUGUGAAAGUCCAGGGCUCAACCCUGGAAGGCCGGUGGAAACUGUCGGGCUAGAGUCCGGAAGAGGCGAGUGGAAUUCCCGGUGUAGCGGUGAAAUGCGCAGAUAUCGGGAGGAACACCAAUGGCGAAGGCAGCUCGCUGGGACGGUACUGACGCUGAGACGCGAAAGCGUGGGGAGCAAACAGG